rnacentral:rRNA from 1 species
AGACGUGCGCAGGCGGUUAUGUAAGACAGAUGUGAAAUACCCCGGGCUCAACCUGGGAACUGCAUUAGUGACUGCAUAGCUGGAGUACGGCAGAGGGGGAUGGAAUUCCGCGUGUAGCAGUGAAAUGCGUAGAUAUGCGGAGGAACACCGAUGGCGAAGGCAAUCCCCUGGGCCUGUACUGACGCUCAUGCACGAAAGCGUGGGGAGCAAACAGGAUUAGAUACCCGUGU